rnacentral:lncRNA from 1 species
AGAGCUAAUUUCUCAGCGGAGAAUAUGUUGUACAGCGACCUCUGCUUAUGCCUCAAAGACCAAGACGCUCCCCAGACUAACCUCAUCACGCGUUCUGGUUAUCUUCCGGUGGGGCUUCGGCCGAGGCUACCCUGGAUUGGACGUUGGUUCAGAUACUUCGAAUGGUGUUUACUGGUCGCCUGGAGGAUGGCUGUUACACUAAGGAGGAGCUGGACGGAUAAUCUCUCAUCUCACAGCAGGCCUGAGGGCUAAGUCCCCAUUCUGCAGAUGGGUAAACUGAGGCUCAGAGAGCCUCACAAUCCACCCAAAGGCAUGUCAUUAUUAAAUGGCACAACUGGGAUUUGCACCCUUUUCUGUAUUGUGCUGUUUUUACUCUACUCUGCCAACGGCUAUAUAGACUUUAAACUCAAGAUUAUAACAACCUAGCAACCUGACAUUCAACUUAAUUCGGAAAAUACUUUGUGUUUAUCCUGUGCCCAGCUUGGAGAAGUGGUGCUCUUGCUGGGGAGGACUGAGCGCCGCGGACGGGUGUCCUCUAAACCGAGCGCUGACGAGCACCCCGAGAGCGGCAGAGUCUCCAGAGCCCCAGGCAGCAGCCACAGGAGGCCAGAGAGACAGUCGGGCAUCUCGGCCAUCUCAUACGACUACUCGGAAGAGGAGCUGAUGGCCAGCAUCGAGCAGGAGUAUUGUCGCUGAGGCCACCGGAGCAGCCCUGCAGGCCCCCGCCCCAGCCAGCCGAGGCUGCUCCUCUGCCCCCCACCCCGCCUGACCCCCCGCCUGACCAGACUGGGGUUGCAGCCCCGCCCCUGCCCAGGCUCUGGCUGGAGCUGAGCCCCCUCCAACAUGCAGUUACUCCUGGUUCUUUCAAAAGAUCCGGCUUCAAGCUUGCUGGCAAAGGGUGGUCAGCCAGCAGACUCCCAGCUACUCCUCUCUCAGUCUCUGGGGAGGGCUUGUCUCCGGGGUUCUCCUGGAGCCUGAAAUGCUUUCCUGGCCGGAUGGCCCUCUCUGCACCAGGACUGGGGACAGCUCACCAGUGAGUGUGGCCCAGACUGGCUCCCUUGGGGCCUCUAAGGCGUCCCCCAGCACCUGACGGCACCCAGGCAGUGUGCUUUCCUGAGCUGGGGGGAGUCACCCUGGUUUUGCCCCGCAGCUGCCUGGAGAUGUUGGUUCUGUGGGUCUGGGGCGGGGCCGGAGAGUCUGAAUUUCUAACCAGCCCCCAGGUGAGACCCGAGCUCCUGGACCCCAGCCUGGCACCGGGUAGGAAGGCCUGAGUCUAAGCUUUAGACCUUAACUGACUCUUCCUUCCUGGCACUGGGGCUGCUCAGAGCCACAGCCCCCCUGCCCCCCUGGAGAGAGGCCUGCUCCCCUCCUCGGCAGGUGUGAUGGACAGAGAGCACAGGGCUGGGAGCUGGAGCCUCAGUUCUGAUCCUCGCCCUUGCACUAACGUGCCUGUGCGCCUCAGUUUCCCUCUCUAGAAAUGGAGUCCUGGAGGCUCUUCCAGGCAUUCCAGCCCCGACAGUCUGGGAUCAGGCAAUUCCAGGCUUCCUUGAUCUGUGCUGUUCUGCCAGCCCCCUGGGGCACAGAGCUGCCCCUGCAGCUUUGGGGGAGCACCCCGGCCCCAACUGGAGGAGGUCCUGAGGAACACCUGCUCUCACCAGCCCGAGGGGACCGGUUUACUCUCUUCCCACCUGGGAGAAG